rfam:Izhakiella sp. D4N98 NODE_18_length_86122_cov_106.853_ID_3767, whole genome shotgun sequence.
AAAAGUUGAAUCCAAUAUUAAAUCUGUGAUAACUCUGUAGGCAUUACUUCGAACAUAUGAGUUAUUCGAGUUAAAAUGAAAGCCGUUCUACGAGUCGUCAGCCUAGUCGUCAUUAACGUCGUCGUGAUUAUUAUCACGCCGUGCGGGGCUACGCUCGGAGGAACAAAGGCUUAAUAAACAAGCCGAUUUUCUAAAGAACCCCCGCACCGAAAGGUCCGGGGGUUUUUUUAUAGUUCAACUUCAGUAAUAAGGAACGCAUCAUGAUUACUAGCAUAAAAUGCUGUUGUUCCCGCAGAGA